AAGGUACAAAUAUGGUAAGCGGCGAGCAUUUUCAAUUGGUUUACAUUUCAACAUGAUGUCCUAUUCGAAUUUAUUUUUGAUUUUAAUUAUUUUUACAAUUCAAAUUGCAACUAUUUUUACUGCACCACCCGAGGAAAUGCCACAGAUUACGGGACUGAUUGAUCUUAAUAGCGGGAUUAUGAACAUAAGCCUCGGUUAAAGGAAUGCAAUCAUUUUAACUUCGAUGUGGCAAAAUCAAUAAAACUUAAGAAUACA